rnacentral:lncRNA from 1 species
CGAAGAUUGUCAUUUUUAUAAUGGAAAAUAUCAGAACAAAAAUUAUGUUUUCUACAAAUUUAAUGACUUUUCACCAAAAAUUUAGGAUUAGUAUUUAAACUCUCUCACACUAUGUAGGUUAUUUCUAAUCUCAUCAUAUCGACACUGACACUGCUGCUACCUUCGGCUGACACCGCCUCCACCUCCGCCGUUUGUUCACUCCGAUUCCUUAGAAAUUGUUACCGUUUUUCAAAUCCCUUGCUAGUCUAUCAUCAACUAUGGAAGUGGAAAUCGAACUCUCUCUAGGCUUUUUCAACUUAACCUUCUCAUGGCCGUUGCCGUUCAUAGAAGACCAAGAUCUUGCAAAGUUAUUCUUUGGCCUAUUGGUUGGAGUUCUCGUUGUUGUUGCGGUCUCUUUCCCCGCGUUAGGAAGACCCAGGCAAGCAGCAGUCACCACCCAGAAGUGGGCCAAGGCUAGGGCUAAAACUCAAAAGGGGUGUUCCCCCUCACCCAUGUGAAGAUGAGUCUUUUUUUUGUUUGGUCAUAUUUCUUUCGUUUUUUUACUUCUUGUUUUGGUAUCAAUUUCGGGUAGAAAAGCCCGGCCCGUGGGUAUGGCUUCUUUUUUCUUUCUUUUGUCAUCUUUCUUGUUCUUUUUUGUUUUUUGGACUUUGUGACUUGGGUAUGGCUUCCUCUUCGUUUCGGGUCCCGUUUUCUUUCUUUUCUUUUUUGAACUUCCUUUUUUCAGUGUAUUGAUC